AAGAAACCAAACAGAAAGAAGCCCGGCACAGAGCUGAUGGAGGUGCUGUCAGUCGGAUUAAAUUCCUCACAUUUUCCAAAACAAAUCUGACAGCUGCUCAGAAAAAGGACACAGGGAGAAGACAAGAUGGAGAUGUGGAGAGAGGAGAAAGCUGUCAUUGGGUCGUGAAUGCUUUAACUACCUUCAUCUCCACAGGAAAAACAGCUGGUUGACUGUGAAUGGUGAAGGAUCUCCCCACUUCAGUGUGACCUCCACAGACUGUAAUGAGGCUGAGAAAAGGAUGUGCCCUCCUCGGGUGAAGAUACCUUUGGAGGACUGUAUGGUGGUAUAAAGAGAGAUUAGGCCCCUGGGGGGUUUAAAUGCUAAACAGGCAAAACGACCCUCAGUGCUUUUGGUCUUUUGAUCUUCCACCUUUUUAAAUGGAAAACAGCUCAAAUGAAUUCAGCAUCAUGAUUAAUACUAUAUCCUAAAUAUUCCAUCCAGUCAUAUACAUAGAAGUACAGACUAUUGCUGUGCUAUUCAUGGCAUUUAGAGUCAAUUAAAAAAAAUGUCUGUUCUGUUCUUGUUAAUUCUUUAUUUAUUCUUCAUUUUUAAGAUACAAAGGCCAAACAUAAAGGAAUCCUCUUAGAAACACAAUACUGGAAUAAAAAAGCUCCAAAUCCAGUCAAAAUUCUAUGAGGUCAACAGUCGGUAUAGCAAGAAACAAACUCAUAUAAUACCAUAAAAACACAUCCAUUUUUUUAAAUCAAUCAUAGAAAACCUGAACAGCGGGGAAACAAGAAAUCUACAAUAGUUUGAAUGUUGAUGAACAUCUAGAAAAAAAGGAAGCUAUGUCACUAAUAAAUUCAGAGCGGUUCAACUUAAACUGAGCGACACUAGCCAAUAAAAUGCAUGCAGACGUGGAUAACAAGAAUGACUGCCUCUGGAAUCGUCUGCAACAAUAAUAAAUAUUGUACAGUGUUUGAAACCAACAUCCAACCUCUCAGUGACACUGCUAUCUCCCCUCAUGCAUUUUUAAGGAUCUUGAAUUAAUAUUCAUUGUUAUCAAUACUAACACUGUAUAAUAUUGCACAAGCCCAUAAUUCAUAAUUCAUGGGGUGGAAAGGUUUAGAAUACUGUGACGGGGGCGGCAGACGUGGAUGAUACGGCGGGUCGUGUCACUUGUCCAGUGGAACCGUAAAAAUCAGUUUUAAUUUGGUUUCUCUCUUACAGUCUUAUCAGUGG